CAAGGAAUUUUCGGCAAUGGGGGCAACCCUGACCGAGCAACGCCGCGUGGAGGAUGACGGCCUUCGGGUUGUAAACUCCUUUUCCGGGGGAAGACAACGACGGUACCCCGGGAAUCAGGCUCGGCUAACUCUGUGCCAGCAGCCGCGGUAAGACAGAGGAGCCAAGCGUUGUCCGGAUUGACUGGGCGUAAAGCGCACGCAGGUGGUCGCGCAAGUGCCGUGUGAAAGCCGGCGGCUUAACUGCCGGAGGCCAUGGCAGACUGCGUAACUCGAGUCCGAGAGAGGUUCGUGGAAUUGCCGGUGUAGUGGUGAAAUGCGUAGAGAUCGGCAGGAACACCCAGGGGGAAGCCAGCGGACUGGCUCGGUACUGACACUGAGGUGCGAAAGCGUGGGGAGCGAACUGGAUUAGAUACCCAGGUAGUCCACGCCGUAAACGAUGGACACUCGUGCUGUGGCGGUUCAAUGCCGUUGCGGCGCCAAGUUAACGCGAUAAGUGUCCCGCCCGGGAACUACGAGCGCAAGCUUAC
rnacentral:rRNA from 1 species